CCAGUACUGUUGUUCAUCAUGAGACUAUUACUGAGGUUGGCAGCCAUGAGUAACUGCGGAAGAUUAGCUAGCAGAUUAAGGUCUGUCCUCGGCCUGUGAGUCACCGGGUCAAUACCCAUCUGCAGAAGCUUCUUUUUCAGAGAACUUUCCGCGUUUGAUAUCAGGACGAAGGUAGUUGGUCCAGCGGAGCCUGCAGCUCUUGCCACAGCGGUUCAAACCAGCCAGUUUUGGUAGAGCUCGCCAACUUCCAUGGCCGUGUCUGUCAAUGUAAUCAACUAGCUUCUUGUCUUCCUCCGGUGUCCAUGGCCCUUUCUUCAGCCCACUUUCAUCGCAGCACGGUGAUCUCCCCAUCAUUUAUCCUUCUACUAGGUACUCUCCUCUCCCUGUGUCAUCACAUAAUUCAAUUAAUCAAAAUCAUCAUUAUCAUAUAUGUUAAAUAUACUUAAUGCACAAGGUUGUAUAUGUAGUCUGAUAAUAUAUUCGUACCGAUCCACACGGUAAAUUCGAGCUCAAAUGUAAGUUGAUGAGGUUGUAUAUGCUAAAGGAUGAAGUAGUUGGUGUUUAUAGACAUUGAGUUUAUUUUUAGAAAAUCCUAAUCUCUUUGUUAUUGUGUAAGGUAGGAGGGUUUUUAUAGGAUAUGUUGGUAUAUUUAAUGGUAAAUUGACUUUAAUUUAGUUGCCUUUAGUUUAGUGUAAUUAAGAAGCUUUGUGAGAUACUUUAAGCUGUAAUUGUCACAAUAUAUAUAUAUAUAUAUAUAUAUAU